GAUGAACGCUGGCGGCGUGCUUAACACAUGCAAGUCGAACGGAACUCUCUGGAAAGAGGCUUCGGCCAAUUGAAUUUGAGUUUAGUGGCGGACGGGUGAGUAACGCGUGAGUAACCUGCCUUGGAGUGGGGAAUAACAGUUGGAAACGACUGCUAAUACCGCAUAAUGCAUCGGGGUCGCAUGGCUCUGAUGCCAAAGAUUUAUCGCUCUUAGAUGGACUCGCGUCUGAUUAGCUAGUUGGUGGGGUAACGGCCUACCAAGUCAACGAUCAGUAGCCGGUCUGAGAGGAUGAACGGCCACAUUGGGACUGAGAUACGGCCCAG
rnacentral:rRNA from 1 species